AGUUUACUUACAGCGUCAAGUUCCUUUUUAAUGGUAAUGGUCCUGUCUGAUAACGUGUCACAGUGAGAACAGGUUAUGGUAUCUACCAAAUCACAAGAUUUAUUGUCGCUCUUGCUGUUUAUAAAUUCACCAAUUUUAUUUAUAUAGGUAAUCACUUGUGGAUUUGCAACAUUCACUGGUACUUUUAACGUCACAAUUAUGUCGAUUAGUUCAUUUUUCUUUAAUUUAUUUAACUCAGUCGUUAACGUGGUUGUAUCACGCGCCGCCAUCUUUUCGGACCAGGCUAGGCUCUUGCCUAGCAUGAAAAUAGCAUAAUGUAAAACUGUCUUUAGUAGAAUUUUUAGUAGAUUUUAUUCUCAAUCUAGUAGAAUUUAGUAGAUUUUGUAUAUAAAUCUAGUAGAAAACGACGUUCGGUCGUUGGCAACCCUGCAUGCUAUUAUUAUUUAUUUUCAUUUAUUUUAGACAGUGCCGUCAGUGGUCUGAUUACAAAAAAAAUUCAAACAUUGAUGACGUAAUUUCAUUAUCAUCAUCAUCAAGUAUUAUUUAUUUGCACCUACUGGUCAUGAGAACAAGGAAACUAAGUUCCUUUUUUUUUAUCAGUGUUUGUGUUUCAGUUUUCAGUACUAAAUUACGUGUAGUUGAAGUGAGGUUACAAACGUUUUAAAUUUAAAAGGGUUGAAUGAUAGUACAUACAUAUUUCAAUUUGUGUACUUAAUACUUCUUAAGGAAAACUAAACAAAGUAUUAUCUGCAAUUGCAACAUGGACCUUACAAAACUAAAUAUUUUAAAAAGAUCAAGGAUAAUUCAUUUGUGUAUGGCAAUCACAUUUUUUACAUCAGGAGUGAUAGUUAACUUUAUGCAGUGUAUUCUUUAUUUAAGUCUUAGACCAUUUAACAAAUGGUUAUACAGAAAAAUUAACUGGUAUUUGUCUUAUACAAUUUAUUCACGUAAGUACUACCCAUUUUAAAUAGGUAUUUCAUUAUAUUAUCUAGGAUCGCCAGAAAUCCGAUAUUUAUUGACAAUAAAGAGAAGAGAAUAAUUCAAAUAAAAAAAGGAAAAAG
rnacentral:lncRNA from 1 species